AUUGAACGCUGGCGGCAGGCUUAACACAUGCAAGUCGAGCGGGGUGAUGGUGCUUGCACUAUCACUUAGCGGCGGACGGGUGAGUAAUGCCUAGGAAUCUGCCUAUUAGUGGGGGACAACAUCUCGAAAGGGAUGCUAAUACCGCAUACGUCCUAUGGGAGAAAGCAGGGGAUCACUUGUGACCUUGCGCUAAUAGAUGAGCCUAAGUCUGGAUUAGCUAGUUGGUGGGGUAAAGGCCUACCAAGGCGACGAUCUGUAGCGGGUCUGAGAGGAUGAUCCGCCACACUGGGACAGAGACAGGGCCCAGACUCCUACGGGAGGCAGCAGGGGGGAAUAUUGGACAAUGGGGGGAUCCCUGAUCCAGCCAUGCCGCGUGUGUUAAGAAGGCCUUAUGGUUGUAAAGCACUUUAAGCGAGGAGGAGGCUCUUUUGGUUAAUACCCAAGAUGAGUGGACGUUACUCGCAGAAUAAGCACCGGCUAACUCUGUGCCAGCAGCCGCGGUAA
rnacentral:rRNA from 1 species